UACGAAGGGGGCUAGCGUUGUUCGGAAUUACUGGGCGUAAAGCGCGCGCAGGCGGUUCUUUAAGUCAGGGGUGAAAGCCCAGAGCUCAACUCUGGAAUUGCCCUUGAAACUAGAGGACUUGAGUACGGGAGAGGUGAGUGGAAUUCCGAGUGUAGAGGUGAAAUUCGUAGAUAUUCGGAAGAACACCAGUGGCGAAGGCGGCUCACUGGCCCGUUACUGACGCUCAGGCGCGACAGCGUGGGGAGCAAACAGG
rnacentral:rRNA from 1 species